rnacentral:tRNA from 1 species
GGCUCGGUAGCUCAGUCGGUAGAGCAUUGGACUGAAAAUCCAAGUGUCGGCGGUUCGAAUCCGUCCCGAGCCA